rnacentral:rRNA from 1 species
GACCUCAGCUCAGGCGGGGCUACCCGCUGAGUUUAAGCAUAUCAAUAAGCGGAGGAAAAGAAACUAACAAGGAUUCCCCUAGUAACGGCGAGCGAACCGGGAAGAGCC